CAAAGUUCAGUUGGUAGAGCAUGAAACUCCUAAUCUCAGGGUUGUGGGUUUAAGUCCACUUUGGGGGGAAAGA